rfam:Eutrema salsugineum unplaced genomic scaffold scaffold_2, whole genome shotgun sequence.
GGUUGUGGAUGAUGAGAAUAAUUUAAAAAAAAACAGUUAUCCCUGUCUGAGGAUUUAAUCCCGUUGAUGAUUCAUUUUGUAAUCUGACACAACA